GUCUUUCUCCAGAAUGAGAACGCACAUGUAAUUUAGGAGUGCUCGUAACUGAAUUUCACAAUCUGAGAUAAAGCACUGGAAAUAUAUAAAGCAGAGGUCUCAAACUUAACUCCUGGUGGGAUACAGCUCUGCACAGUUUAGCUCACACUCUAAUCACACACACCUGAUCCAGCUAAUCAAGGUCUUCAGGAUUAAACUUCCAAGCAGGUGUGAAUUGGAGCUGCUUGGAGCUAAACUGUGCAGAGCUGUGGCCCUCCAGGAAUUGAGUUGGAGACCUCUAAUAUAAAGCAACAAUUUGUCCUGUCAGCCUACAAGUGAAGAAGAUCGAGUUAAUGAAAGAACAGUGAGGACAUGAGUCAUCCAGAACCCUGCAGAAAAAAAUGUGAAGUUACUGAAAAACAAAGAGACCCGGUUAAAGAGAAUGAAGAUAGUGAACAACUGAGUGAAGCAGGAGAAAAACAUCAUGUCAAAAGUGGAGAAAGUAAGUUUUUGCUGAAAAGAAGAGCCAAAAAAUCUUGCACCUGCUCUCAGUGUGGAAAGAGUAUCUCAUGCAGGCAAAGUCUUAAAUUUCACAUGAGAGUUCACAGUGGAGAGAAGCCACACAUGUGUGAUCAAUGUGGGAUGAGUUUUGCACGUAAAGAAACUCUUAUUACUCACAUGAAAAUCCACACUGGAGAGAAACCGCACGCAUGUGAUCAGUGCGGGAGGAGAUUUGCACAGGCAAGAACUUUCAGAUUACAUCUGCGUUCUCAUUCUGGAGAAAAGCCAUAUAACUGUGAUCAGUGUGGUAAAAACUUUUCUUAUCCAGAUUCCCUGAA